rnacentral:rRNA from 1 species
GGCGCACAUAAGACAUGCAACUCGAACGGAAGUCGUUAUGAUGAUUUCAAUAUGGACAGAGAACUUGUUCGAAGAAAAUGGAGACUGACUUAUAACAAUGGCUUUAGUGGCGGACUGGUGAGUAACACGUGAGCAACCUGCCUAUCAGAGGGGAAUAACAGUGAGAAAUCAUUGCUAAUACCGCAUAUGCCAUAAAUAUCACAUGACGAAAGUGGGAAAGGAGUAAUCCGCUGAUAGAUGGGCUCGCGUCUGAUUAGAUAGUUGGUGGGGUAACGGCCUACCAAGUCGACGAUCAGUAGCCGGACUGAGAGGUUGAACGGCCACAUUGGGACUGAGAUACGGCCCAGACUCCUACGGGAGGCAGCAGUCGGGAAUAUUGCGCAAUGGAGGAAACUCUGACGCAGUGACGCCGCGUAUAGGAAGAAGGUUUUCGGAUCGUAAACUAUUGUCGUUAGGGAAGAUACAAGACAGUACCUAAGGAGGAAGCUCCGGCUAACUACGUGCCAGCAGCCGCGGUAAUACGUAGGGAGCAAGCGUUAUCCGGAUUUAUUGGGUGUAAAGGGUGCGUAGACGGGAAAGCAAGUUAGUUGUGAAAUCCCUCGGCUUAACUGGGGAACUGCAACUAAAACUACUUUUCUUGAGUGUUGGAGAGGAAAGUGGAAUUCCUAGUGUAGCGGUGAAAUGCGUAGAUAUUAGGAGGAACACCGGUGGCGAAGGCGACUUUCUGGACAAUAACUGACGUUGAGGCACGAAAGUGUGGGGAGCAAACAGGAUUAGAUACCCUGGUAGUCCACACCGUAAACGAUGGAUACUAGGUGUAGGGAACAUUAAGUUUUCUGUGCCGUCGCAAACGCAAUAAGUAUCCCACCUGGGGAGUACGGCCGCAAGGUUGCAACU